rnacentral:rRNA from 1 species
UACAGAGGUCCCAAGCGUUGUUCGGAUUCACUGGGCGUAAAGGGUGCGUAGGCGGCCGGGUAAGUCUGAUGUGAAAUCCCGCAGCUCAACUGCGGAACGGCAUUGGAUACUAUCUGGCUCGAGGAGUGGAGGGGAGACUGGAAUACUUGGUGUAGCAGUGAAAUGCGUAGAUAUCAAGUGGAACACCAGUGGCGAAGGCGAGUCUCUGGACACUUCCUGACGCUGAGGCACGAAAGCCAGGGGAGCAAACGGG